rnacentral:rRNA from 1 species
GUCCACGCCCUAAACGAUGUCAACUGGUUGUUGGUGGGGUUAAACCCAUUAGUAACGAAGCUAACGCGUGAAGUUGACCGCCUGGGGAGUACGGCCGCAAGGUUAAAACUCAAAGGAAUUGACGGGGACCCGCACAAGCGGUGGAUGAUGUGGAUUAAUUCGAUGCAACGCGAAGAACCUUACCUACCCUUGACAUGCCAGGGAGCCGGAUGAGAGUUCGGUGUGCCCGAAAGGGAGCCUGGACACAGGUGCUGCAUGGCUGUCGU